UCAUAGACCGAUCUUCAGGUAGGACUUAUCGAGUGUGUGUGUCCCAGGGCGAGGCCUGCCAUUGCACUCCGGCAGUUCUGACCCCUGCGAUUAACCCAAAUGUGGUUAACUCGAGGGAUAAAUUUUUGUUAGUGGGGAUUGCGUUCGCGUUUGCGUUCG